CUGAGUAUAGUGGCGACCGGGUGAGUAACACGUGACUACCUACCCUUGAGUGGGGGAUAACCUCGGGAANCCGAGGCUAAUACCGCAUAAUAUCGAAAGAUCAAAGGAGUAAUCCGCUUUUGGAGGGGGUCGCGGCUGAUUAGCUAGUUGGUAAGGUAAUGGCUUACCAAGGCGAAGAUCGGUAUCCGGCCUGAGAGGGCGCACGGACACACUGGAACUGAAACACGGUCCAGACUCCUACGGGAGGCAGCAGUGGGGAAUUUUGCGCAAUGGGGGAAACCCUGAUGCAGCGACGCCGCGUGAGCGAUGAAGCCCUUCGGGGUGUAAAGCUCUUUCGGCAGGGACGAUUAUGACGGUACCUGCAGAAGCAGCUGCGGCUAACUACGUGCCAGCAGCCGCGGUAAUACGUAGGCAGCAAGCGUUGUUCGGAGUUACUGGGCGUAAAGGGUGUGUAGGCGGCCUGUUAAGUUCCGUGUGAAAUCUCCCGGCUCAACUGGGAGGGUGCGCGGAAAACUGGCGGGCUAGAGUGCGGGAUGGGAGAGUAGAAUUCCUGGUGUAGCGGUGAAAUGCGUAGAUAUCAGGAGGAAUACCGGUGGUGUAGACGGCUCUCUGGACCGUAACUGACGCUGAGACACGAAAGCGUGGGUAGCAAACAGGAUUAGAUACCCUGGUAGUCCACGCCCUAAACGAUGCAUAUUUGGUGUAGGUCAUUCAGUUGAUCUGUGCCGGAGCUAACGCGUUAAAUAUGCCGCCUGGGGAGUACGGUCGCAAGGCUGAAACUCAAAUGAAUUG
rnacentral:rRNA from 1 species